CAAAGGUAGCAUAAUCAUUAGGAGUUUAAUUGGAACCUAGAAUGAAGGGUUGGACAAAGAAGAAACUGUCUUUAUAUUAUAGAUUGAAGUUUACUUUUGAGUGAAAAGGCUUAAAUGAAUCAAAGGGACGAUAAGACCCUAUAAAGCUUUAUAAGUAAUUUAAAUUUAGUUGAUUUAGGAAAAUAAAAAUUGAUUUUAACUGUCUUAUUUUAUUGGGGUGAUAUGAGUAUAAAUAUUGUUAACUGCUUAUAAGUUAUACUGUUAUAAUAGAAUUAUAAAUUAAUGAUCCUUUUUAAAGAUUAAAAGAUUAAGUUACUUUAGGGAUAACAGCGUUAUUUCUUUUGAGAGUUCAUAUCGAAAAAGAAGAUUGCGACCUCGAUGUUGAAUUAAAAUAUCUAUAUAAUGCAGCCGUUAUAAAAGAGGGUCUGUUCGACCUUUAAAUUUUUACAUGAUUUGAGUU
rnacentral:rRNA from 1 species